UGAUCUUUUUUCAUCUCCAUUGUCAUUUCGUAUCUUACGAUACAGAUUCUGGACUGUGCUUUCAGAAAGGUAUCAAAAGCAACAAAACAGUGGCAGCUACGUAAUAUUCCAUCCACAAUAAGCAAACAGUCCCAUUUUCACAAAACUAAGUGUACUGACAUGGCCAGAAAACAGGCAAUGGACACAGGGCUACAUUUUCUUUGGUACUAGAGAAAAGUCUAGUGGAUUUUACAUACAAGGAGAAACAGUUUGGUCUCUCGCCCUAUAAAAUACUAAGAGCGAGAGGCAAGGAAUGUGCUCGUUUUGAAUAUAGGUAUUCCGGUAUAGGCUUUGUAGACACCAUGAGAUGUCAUUUACUUAUAGAAUAAAUGCAGAAGUUUUCCAAAAAUCAUGCAAGUAACAGCCAACAAAUGAAAUCAAGAUCAAGGUUAGUUCUUUAGCUUUCAGAGCAACUCUUUGAAUCUGCUACACUCACACUCCAAAAACUCUUCUUUCCAGCAAACGGAAGUGUUUGACAACUAGAUCAGUGCAACUCAGAGCAAAGAACAAGAAAAGAAAAAAAGGUACACAUGGACUCAUCUCCAAGACUAGAAGGCUCAUAAAUUAUAUUCCAUUUUUAAACAUGCAGUAUUCACUCUUACUGUUUCAGAAGGAAAACACCAGCAGAGACAGCCUUAGACAGGCUGCUUUCAUUUAAAAGAAUAGGAUCUACUGGGCUUUAUCUUCAGCUCUGCUUUAACCUCAUUAGCCCACAGAUUUGCACUAGAGUGAAUCCGGCCUGCAAAGCACUAACACAAGUACAACUGCCAAAAGAUUUUCAUUCUUUCAUUAUUCUGCUUUUGUUCCAUUUACCAAAGCAGGUGGGAAUAAUGUCCAUGGCUGUAUAAACUCAUGAAAGCCAACUUACAUAGUAAAUGCUUGAAAAGUAGCUACAACCACCAUAAAAUCAAACUAAGGAGGCAAAGUAACUCACUAUCUCUCUCUCCUGGCAACACGGAAAGGUAAUUGUACAAAGCAUACCGUAUCGCAUAGCAAACCUGGCUUUAAUCAUCUUAAAGAAGGUCCAGAGGAGAACAGAUUCAAGCCUUCUCUGUAAGGAUGGGGGACAUUUGGGGAAAGUAUCUUUUACUUCUGUAUAGCACAAACCUCUGUUACACAGGUCAGCCCUACAGGCAAUAACAACUAAGUUCAAGAUGCUGAGGCAGAGAGUCCCUGCAGCCUUCUAGUGUCCACUAGUGAAGGAACGUACAGUAAAAGCAAGAAGUAGGAAUAAUUGUUCUAUUUUUACCUUAUUCUCCUUUGCAAAGCAUUUGUCAUAACGGAUUUACUGCCCAACAGCUUGUUUCUAAUGGGAAAUACUACAAAGUGUGGAGAGGUAGCCUUUUGCAAAAACCUGAAACCAGAAGAAUUCCUCCACUUGCCCUCAAAAAAAAAAAAAAAAAAAAAAAAAAACCUACAAAAGUGAGAAGUGCAGA